UUUUAAUUUUGUUUACAGAAUCUUCAGUGAGUUGGUGGAAUGGGAGAGGAAAUAAGCACAGUGGACAGAACUGUAGAAUUCAAUUCAGUGCAAAUAAUAUAUGUUCCUCUAAAAGAAGACAAAUAAUUCCAGUGCAAUACUUAACCAGGUGGUUGUGGAGCCCUAGUGAAAAUUAGAAAUGCCCAUGUUCAUAACUUCUUACGAUGCUAAGUUUGUCUCUAUGUAGUGCCCUUACUUUUUUUUUUUUUGUUCUAGGGAUUGAACCCAGGGACGCUUAACCUCUGAGCCAAAUACCCAGCCCUUUUUAUAUUUUAUGUAUAGCUAGGGUCUUGCUAAGUUGCUUAGGGCCUUGAUAAGUUGCUGAGGCAAGUUGCUGAGGCUGGCUUUGAACUCGGGAUCCUCCUGCCUUAGCCUCCCAGGAUGCUAGGAUUACAGGCAUGUGCCACUGCACUGGUGCUUACGUUGAUUUUUGACAUGUACUGUGUGCCAGGCACUGUAUUAAGCCCUUUAAUGUGUAUCACACAUUUAAUCUGGAUAGCAAUCCAUUCUUCACUGUUGCUAUGCUAUUAUCAUCCCUGUUAGGUCACAUCUGUCCUUAGGCAAAAGCAUUUCUUACAUAUUUAGUUUGGCAAUCCAUACAUCGUUAGUAGAAUAAUUUUCUAAAUAUUUUUGGAAAAUUAUCGACAUUGUGAGUUUAAACUUCAGACCUUAGCUAUUAUUAAUCAUAUAGGUUUUUCAAUAAAUUACAGGCAACUCUUAAAUAAUUGAUUUAUUACCUUUUAAAUGGAAAUUACAGUCAGCUGUCAGAUAUGCUUUGGUCCAUUGUGCAUGUUGCUUUGAGCUGCCUGUUUUUAUUCUUACUGCAUGUCCUUCAGAUUUGUAUAAACUGCAAAUUAGCAGAAAUUCUAAGGAAAGUCCAGUUAUAAAAAAAUCAUAUAAAUUGUCGCACCUAGUUUUUGAAGUUAAGUGUAAAGUGGUGAGCAUGGGGAGCACUUAGCUGGGCUUCUGCUCAUCUGAGAAAUGGUGCUUACGUGUGUUUGCAGAUAUGGAAUGUCCUUGCCUGAACUGAGUUCCCUCCACUUGUAGAAUACUUGGAGGUUUAAAAAGCAAAGCAAAACAAAACAAAACAAAACAAAAUCUACAAAGGUCAUAAUCACUUCAGAUCCUAAUCACCUGUCAAAAAGAAGAUAUAAAGUGACAUUAGAAUAAUCCUCUGGAGCUGGAGUUGUAGCUCAGUGGUAGAGCGCUUCCUCGAAUGUGACAAGCCUGGGUUCGAUCCUCACCAUCACAUAAUAAAUAAAUAAAUAAAGGUAUUGUGUCCAUCUACAACAACAACAAUAAAAUUUAAAAAUUAACCCUCUGUUAGACAGUAUGUGAUUUAAGUUCCAUAUUACUAGUCCCUGUUAAGAGAAUGGAGAAGGUGGAAAGAAGAAUCCUGAAUAUUCGGGUAGUCAAAGGGCAGCUUUAUAUAGGACAUGGAACUGUGUUACUGGUCCUUGGAGGAUAUAUCUGUAGGCCAAAGGCACAGAAACUUUCUGGUGAGAAAAAGAUAGCCAGGCUAGACAAUGUGUAAUAACUUUAGUGCUUUGAAUGCAUAAAACAUUUAUUUUAAUGAGUUGAAGAGUGUAUGUUCUCUUGGGCACUUUAAAUUGUUUUAAAAAUGCCAAAACCAAGCAUUUUAUGAAUCUGUAGUUAGACUCUAAAGCAGGAAUGGCCAGCAGCUGUUGAGGCAGUGCAGAGAAAUAGGGACACCUGGAGGGGCUCAGCUGCCCACUUCCCUGGACAAGUGUGCUGGUUGUAGCUUUCAUCCUACCCAGUCUUUAGAACUUGAAAUCUUCCAGCCUAAGUUAGACACAUUUAUACAAAAAGUAUUUGUUAUGCUUGUUAUAUAUCUGGAUGCUUGAGUAUAAAUCAGCUGAAAUGUGUUCAUGCUUCCCAAAGCUUAUAAAAAUAGUUUUUAAAAAUAAACAUUUGUUUUCCAUAACUUCUUACUUAUGUUUGAUUUGUCUACAUUGU
rnacentral:lncRNA from 1 species